GGGAUUACAAACUUGCUGGAAAUGGAUGAGAAACCUUCUGCUCUGCUGGAGUUUAUCUUGAGUGUGCCUUAAAAUUCCAUUUCAUGGAGAACUGUGCGUGGUUGAAUUUUGAUUGAUUACUCAAUUAACUGAUGUAUUGGUAGAGUGAUUAAGAAAGAAGACUUUGGGAUCAGACCAACCUGGUUUUGAAUUCAAGCUCAGCAACUUACUAGGUAAGGAGGAGAAAAGAAAGAAGGAAAAAUUGGAAAGAUAAAUGGGGUCUUUCCAGUGAAGCUGCAGUUAUGGCAUUAACCACCCAGUUGUUACCUACUUCUAGAUGAAAGCUCAAUUUUCCUACAUAAUUAAGAGUUUGGAAUUCGGGCAAUAUCAAGAACCACAUCUGUCCUGAAAUCAAUUAUCUCUGUUUGAUACAGAAUCUGAGGAGGGUGGCUCUGUUAUUCUGAUGGAAUGAAUGCUCAGUGAGAUCAAAAUCAAGUCAUUGAGGAUGCCAGGAGAGUCUGGGGCAUCCUCAGGUACCCUGCAGGGUUUGUGGGGAGGCUGCUGGACUUACAGAUUGUUGUGGAUUUCAUCCUGGAUGGUUUACUGAGCUCUUUGGGGUUCCUGAGGUGAAAAUUACAGCAAUUUUAAGAGUCUGACACACUUUCCAGCUGAUAGCACUAAAAACAUGACUUGUAGCCUCCUCUCUUUUUCCUGUUUGCUUCUCUGAAUGAAGAUGGCAGAACUAAUCUGUAUGAACUAUUAUCUGUUAUGUGAAUUUUUAUGAAUUAAACUAAUUUAUCUUUAAAAAUCCAUUUUUUUCUCUAUGAGCAACUUAUGCAAUGGAAUGGACCUACUAUAUUUGUCAAAGUUAUUAGAGUCCCGGGUUUUUAAUUACUAGUUUGAACCCCACAGCUCUUCUGGUAAAAUGUGGACUGCAUACUGAAGGGAAAACAAAAUAACAGAUUAUGCAAUAUACAAAUAGAAUUACCAGUGACUUAUUCUCCUUUAAGUCAACAUUUAAUGCAAUGGUUUUUGCUCUGGAUCUCAUAUCCCUUUUAUUUUGUAUUUUUUUUGGGUAAGGUGGUUCCGAUGUUAUCAACCAAUAAAAUAAAUUCUACUUCA
rnacentral:lncRNA from 1 species